rnacentral:rRNA from 1 species
UACGCAUGCAGUCGAACGGUCCCGGUUGGCUUCGGCCGGCCGGGAUAGUGGCAGACAGCUGAGUAACACGUAAGUAACCUACCCUGAAGAGGGGGAUAAUCUCGAGAAAUCGGGCCUAAUACCGCGUAAUGUCCAGACCGGCAGUCCGGACUGGAAGGAAAGGUUCUCGCUUCGGCGGGAAUCGCUCUGGGAGAAGCUUGCGGCCUAUCAGGUAGUUGGUGGGGUAAAAGCCUACCAAGCCUAAGACGGGUAACCGAUGUGAGAGCAUGAUCGGUCAGAGGGGGACUGAGACACGGCCCCCACUCCUACGGGAGGCAGCAGCAGGGAAUCUUGCGCAAUGGGCGAAAGCCUGACGCAGCGACACCGCGUGAAGGAUGAAGGUCUUAGGAUUGUAAACUUCUUUUCUAGGGGAAGAGAACGGACGGUACCUUAGGAAUAAGGAUCGGCUAACUACGUGCCAGCAGCCGCGGUAAUACGUAGGAUCCGAGCGUUGUCCGGAUUUACUGGGCGUAAAGGGCGAGUAGGCGGCAUGCUAAGUCUCAUGUGAAAUCUCCCGGCUCAACUGGGAGGGGUCAUGGGAAACUGGCAAGCUUGAGAGCAGUAGAGGGAAGCGGAAUUCCCGGAGUAGUGGUGAAAUGCGUAGAUACCGGGAGGAACACCAGUGGCGAAGGCGGCUUCCUGGGCUGUUUCUGACGCUGAGGAGCGAAAGCGUGGGGAGCAAACCGGAUUAGAUACCCGGGUAGUCCACGCCCUAAACGAUGGAUACUAGGUAUAGGGGGUAUCGACCCCCCCUGUGCCGAAGCUAACGCGAUAAGUAUCCCGCCUGGGGAGUACGGCCGCAAGGCUAAAACUCAAAGGAAUUGACGGGGGCCCGCACAAGCAGCGGAGCGUGUGGUUUAAUUCGAUGAUAAGCGAAGAACCUUACCAAGGCUUGACAUGUAUCCGCUAUCCUGGGAAACCAGGCUUUCCUUCGGGGAGCGUAGACAGGUGCUGCAUGGCGGUCGUCAGCUCGUGUCGUGAGAUGUUGGGUUAAGUCCCGCAACGAGCGCAACCCCCGUUGUUAGUUAUUCUGUCUAGCGAGACUGCUCCUAAAAAGGGAGAGGAAGGUGGGGACGACGUCAAGUCAGCACGGCUCUUACGUCCUGGGCCACAAACACGCUACAAUGGUCGGUACAGAGGGUCGCGAAGGCGCGAGCCGGAGCUAAUCCCAAAAAGCCGGCCCCAGUUGGAAUUGCAGGCUGAAACCCGCCUGCAUGAACGUGGAGUUGCUAGUAACCGCAGGUCAGCACACUGCGGUGAAUACGUUCCCGGGCCUUGUACACACCGCCCGUCACGUCAUGGAAGUCGGUAACACUUGAAGUCGCUGAGCCAACCCGCGGGAGGCAGGCGCCGAG